UACGUAGGGCGCAAGCGUUGUCCGGAAUUAUUGGGCGUAAAGAGCUCGUAGGCGGUUUGUCGCGUCGGGAGUGAAAACCAGGUGCUUAACACCUGGCUUGCUUUCGAUACUGGCAGACUAGAGGUAUUCAGGGGAGAACGGAAUUCCUGGUGUAGCGGUGAAAUGCGCAGAUAUCAGGAGGAACACCAAUGGCGAAGGCAGCUCGCUGGGACGGUAUUGACGCUGAGACGCGAAAGCGUGGGGAGCAAACAGG
rnacentral:rRNA from 1 species